rnacentral:rRNA from 1 species
ACUCCUACGGGAGGCAGCAGUGGGGAAUAUUGCACAAUGGGCGAAAGCCUGAUCCAGCAAUGCCGCGUGUGUGAAGAAGGCCUUCGGGUUGUAAAGCACUUUUGUCCGGAAGAAAUGGCUCUGGUUAAUACCUGGGUGCGAUGACGGUACCGGAAGAAUAAGGACCGGCUAACUACGUGCCAGCAGCCGCGGUAAUACGUAGGGUCCAAGCGUUAAUCGGAAUUACUGGGCGUAAAGCGUGCGCAGGCGGUUGUGCAAGACCGAUGUGAAAUCCCCGAGCUUAACUUGGGAAUUGCAUUGGUGACUGCACGGCUAGAGUGUGUCAGAGGGGGGUAGAAUUCCACGUGUAGCAGUGAAAUGCGUAGAGAUGUGGAGGAAUACCGAUGGCGAAGGCCAGCCCCUGGAUAACACUGACGCUCAUGCACGAAAGCGUGGGGAGCAAACAGGAUUAGAUACCCUGGUAGGAUAGCGU